rnacentral:rRNA from 1 species
AGUGAACGCUGGCGGUAGGCCUAACACAUGCAAGUCGAACGGCAGCUCAGUAAGAGCUUGCUCUUACGGGUGGCGAGUGGCGGACGGGUGAGGAAUACAUCGGAAUCUACUUUUUCGUGGGGGAUAACGUAGGGAAACUUACGCUAAUACCGCAUACGACCUACGGGUGAAAGCAGGGGAUCUUCGGACCUUGCGCGAUUGAAUGAGCCGAUGUCGGAUUAGCUAGUUGGCGGGGUAAAGGCCCACCAAGGCGACGAUCCGUAGCUGGUCUGAGAGGAUGAUCAGACACACUGGAACUGAGACACGGUCCAGACUCCUACGGGAGGCAGCAGUGGGGAAUAUUGGACAAUGGGCGCAAGCCUGAUCCAGCAAUACCGCGUGGGUGAAGAAGGCCUUCGGGUUGUAAAGCCCUUUUGUUGGGAAAGAAAAGCAGCAGGUUAAUACCCCGCUGUUCUGACGGUACCCAAAGAAUAAGCACCGGCUAACUUCGUG